GAGUUUGAUCGUGGCUCAGAUUGAACGCUGGCGGCAGGCCUAACACAUGCAAGUCGAGCGGAUGACGGGAGCUUGCUCCUUGAUUCAGCGGCGGACGGGUGGGUAAUGCCUAGGAAUCUGCCUGGUAGUGGGGGACAACGUUUCGAAAGGAACGCUAAUACCGCAUACGUCCUACGGGAGAAAGCAGGGGACCUUCGGGCCUUGCGCUAUCAGAUGAGCCUAGGUCGGAUUAGCUAGUUGGUGGGGUAAUGGCUCACCAAGGCGACGAUCCGUAACUGGUCUGAGAGGAUGAUCAGUCACACUGGAACUGAGACACGGUCCAGACUCCUACGGGAGGCAGCAGUGGGGAAUAUUGGACAAUGGGCGAAAGCCUGAUCCAGCCAUGCCGCGUGUGUGAAGAAGGUCUUCGGAUUGUAAAGCACUUUAAGUUGGGAGGAAGGGCAGUAAGUUAAUACCUUGCUGUUUUGACGUUACCGACAGAAUAAGCACCGGCUAACUCUGUGCCAGCCGCCGCAAG
rnacentral:rRNA from 1 species